GGUAGCUAUGUAAGCAUGCCUCAGUUGUCCCUGGCCCUCACAAGACACACCGUCUCACACAGGACUGUACCCGAGUGGUCUCAGAAAAAGAAACACAGAUGCUGUACAUAUUGGGGACCGUCUUUGGAAUCAUCUGCAUCAUAGUAUGCAUUUCCAAAGGACUGAAAGAGAAGGAUAGUAAGCAAGGAAAUGGCUGUCAACCUCCUCUACAGAAACAACUGGUCUACAAUAAAAGGAUUCUGACUGAACAGGACCUUUUACUUCUGGCCAGGAUCCUGACCAUUGGACUGGUAGACGCAGACCCUACCACCUUGCAGCACCUAAGGGAAUACAGAGACCUUAGAGGAAGCACCACAUGAAGUGGUGACACUGACACAUGUGCUCUUGUGUCAAAGACUAGAUAUUCCUCUGAGACUCUUGUUGUCUUUGUGACACUAGUAAAUGAGUGUCUUUUGGGACUGUUUUGACUGAAGGAACCAUGACCUCCAAGAGGAUUAGUUCUGGACUUGACAUUUGUCACCUUUUGGUACAAGGUUGUCAAGGCUUUUGUUUUCCUGCUUGCUAGUAUCAACAGGUAGAAGAUUCCUCCAUGGAUAAUCUAAUCUACAGUAUGUGAGAAUGAAACCUCUGCCAGUAUGUUGCAGCACAAAAAUGAAAGUCUGAUUCACAGGUGAAAAUGACAUUCAAAAACUGUGAUAUUCUAGAGAAACCAGGACAGAUGUCUACUGCAUGUUUGGUCAUCUGAGUAGGCCUAUUAUAGGCCUGUGUUGCAAUACUGUGUACGGAUCGUCGUCACUCAGGGAAAUUUCCACUUGAACAUUCUUUUGGCCUUAACUCAGAGAGUGUACUGAGCACAUGAGGAAAUGUCUGCCCAACACAGAGGUUCUAUGAAGCAUGACGAUUUUUAUGAGAAAGAAUGUGACGAGAGCGUGAGAAUUUUCUAUGAAAGUUUUAUUUUUUAAAUUAUUGUUGUGGAUUAUCAAUGAAUUUUGAACAUCUUUUAUUCUGCCAAAUGUGAGACAUAAUCUAGUAAAACUGCAACGUUUCCCUUGGUUAUUAGAGGACAGGUUAAGAACAAUUACAUUGAAAGUGCAGUAUGUAAGAUUUAGGGUGAUCUUGUACCAGAAAUAUUUUCAAUAGUGUCUUAUCACCUGUAAUGUUUGUGUUUUUGUUAUCUUAGAACGAGCCCUUUGUAUUUAUUUUAGUGAGAGAAUCCACUUCCGCAGAGCCCACCCUGUUUUUGCUGCCAUGUAGCACCACUCCGUCAAACCAAAACAGGGCCUUGCACAAUUGAUGCACCUGAUGGGAACGCUAUAGCUUCAAAGUAUUCCAUUGGUUGUUCUGUAUGCAUGUCACUAAAUUCUGCAUACUGCACUUUUAACGUAUGGACUCAAUACCCAUAUUUGUUGUAUUAUACUUUCAGCAGUACUGAGUACUCUUGACACAUUUGAUAACCUUUAAAAAAUGUUGGGCUCCUGAUGCAUCAAUUUAUCUGGUCUUGGAACAGAAUCUGAGAUAAUGUAUUUAAAAACAAAUAUCCUGUGUCUAUGCCUUCCUCUUGACCUUCUGAGUUUUCCCUGGGGAGAGAAGCAGAACCCAACAUGUUACUUCAAUAAAGAACCUCAUUGUGGGCAUGCCCAGAUCUACAGUAAUAUGAUCACCAUGGUCCAUUCACUUACCCCAGAUGCUGCUGUUUAGCGUUUGUCCCAACAGAUAAAGCAGAGUCACCACAGUCAUGUUGAAAAAGAAGAAGCCCAUCAGUCCAGCAGGACUUAACAAAGAGAGAAGGGGGUACACCCAGAUACCCACAGUCAGGUACACCCAAAUCACCCUGGGGAAAGGCAAAGGCAGUUAGGCGGCGACAAGUAACAGUUCAAGAAAAAAAAGAGAGUAAGCAUGUCACUGUUUUCUGUUCAUAUCGAAAGCUCAUCUGUUGUCUCGUUUCAAAAUGAUGCUCUAGAUCUUGAUUGGUUAUGUUAUGUUGUAAUGUUUGUGAUGCUCUAGAUCUUGAUUUGUAAAAUUGUUAUACUGAUGAUAAUUAUACUGAUAUAGAUGUUUAGAUGACACUAGACAUGGAACCUUCCUAUAUCUUACUGACUCAUUUGGCAGUGGCAGCCGUUCUAAUUCUACUGUCCUUUUAUUUUUGUUAUGUAAAUAAAUUGACACCACCUACCAACUUAAGUAGGCAAGCCCUACAACACCUAA